CAAAAACCCUACCUGUAAAACCCAUCUAACCCAGAAGGUAAUUGCAAGCUCUCAACAAGGAGAACUCGGUUUUUCUCUAAUUCAAUGGAGCUAGAGGAUAGCAUUUUAAACUUCUCUGAUGAAGACGAGAGCUUUGAGGAUGAUGAAGAUGUUAAAAUGAAUGAUAUUGAGGAAGGAGAACUAGUUGAGAAGAUCUCCAAGACUGGAUUAGAGGAAACUGGUGAUGUAUGUGCCAGCUCUGAAAAUCCUCUUCCAGGUAAAAAAAAUCGGAGACGGAGGAAGAACAAGGGAAAGAACAAAAGCAAGAGAGUUUCUUCAGGUCCAAUCACAGACAUUAACAGAUUUGUUUUGGAUGUCGGAAGACGCUUGAAAGAGAGGAAAUCUUAUCUUAUAUGGAAUGCUGUUGGUUGUCUCGGCCUAUCUGCUUUGAGUGAUCUUGUUAAAGAGGUGGAUGCAAUUCAGACUUGUGG
rnacentral:misc_RNA from 1 species